rnacentral:lncRNA from 1 species
UUUUUUUUUGGUUGAAAAAAUUUGGAAAUUUUACCUCCUAUAGAAAAGGUUUACACCCUAUUUAUUAUAAAUAAAAACCCUUUUAAAAUAUUAUUUUCUAUAGCUACCUUUUAUUUUUUAUAGCAAAAUAUGUAUUUAUGGUAUACACUACCGUUAAGGCAUUAAAUACGUUGUCUAAUAUUUUUCUCUCUCAUUCUUUCAGUUAUUCCCUCCCAAAAUCACUGCACAGUAUAUCUAAUUUCUCUCUCCACGAUCUCUCUCUCACAACAAGUUUGUCUUCUCCAUUGUUGAACCACGAUUCUCCCCAUCGUCUUCCCCAAGCUUUAUAGUUCUCUCACAACACCAUUGUCUCUCUCAAUUUUUAACUUUUUUUUUCUCCAAAAAAAAGUUAUGGUAAGUGUUAAAGUUUUUGGGUUUUUGGUCGGUUAAAGCUUCUUCUUUUUCUCUUCAACAGUUUAUUUUAAAAUAUUCACCAUUGUUAGGUUUUCUACAGAAUACUUUAAAUUUCCUCUUCAAUGGCUGAUUCAACAACUCCGAAGAGGGUUACCCGAGGUAUACCCACUAAAGCACUCAAUUUCGAAGGGCCAUCUUUCGAUUUGCAAAUCACUCAAGAGGAACCUGUAUUUACAGGUUCAUCAACAACUAUUGAAGCUGAAAGGAGAACAAAAAUACGCAAUGACCCUAUGAAACAAGGUCAAGAUGAGAAAUCUUUGAAAAAAUCAACACUUCCUGAUGUGGAAAAGAGAAGAAAACUUAUGGAUGAUGCUUCUGGGAGCAAGGAAAAAGGGGUCGCUAAAGGAUGUAGCUCGGAAACACAGAACGAUAAGGUAAUUGUAGAUGUAUUUAUAUGUAUUCGAGUUCGCUUACAUUGAUUUUUAGUUUGUACAGUGAUUUUCUCUUCUUGUAUUCAUAUGUAUUUGAUAAGGGCAUACACUGAUUUUUAUUUUGUACAAUAAUUUUUAACUGUUGUAUUUAGAUAUAUUUAUAUGUAUUUGAGUUCAUACAAUAACAUUUUUAAAUACAUUGCUAGUUCUAUCAUUUUGAUGUUAUUUAUCAAUUAGUUAUGCAUUCAAUCUAACUGUAUUCAUCCGUAUAUUCAACCUAUCUAUAUCCAUCUGUAUUUAAAACAACAGUUAUUGCCAUAACUCGCAGUUUUUGUUGUAAUUAUCAGUUUACUAUGUUGUAUUCAUGAAUGAGUUAUGUAUUCAACCUAACUGUAUUCAUCUGUAUUUUCAGCCAUAUAUUUUAUCUUUUUUAGUUAUUUUUUGUAUGCAGAAAAUAAAAUUCUUUGUUAAACACCCGCCUAUUUUAUCGCCGCAUAUCAGUUCCUAUACUGACAUAAUCUCCGACCUUAAAGAAAAGUUUACUCCAGAUCAGUACAAACUAUUUGGUACUACUUGUUUUGGAGGAUUCCUCGAUAUGAAGCACUGUGAGGUUCAACAUCAGUUGUUCAGGUGCUUCAUGGUUCUGCAGCUGGAAGAAAGUCCUAUUGAUUCAUUUUUAAUACAUGUGAAUGGUACAACAAUAUGCUUUUCAAUCAGGGAGUUUGCGCUAGUUACUGGUCUCAAUUGUGUUAGUGACGCUGACGAUUUUGAGUUUAACAAAAAGAUGCCUAACAGGAUUGUGGAUACAUACUUUAGCGGUGCAAAGAAUGUCAAGAAGAAAGAUUUGUUGAAAUGCUUUGAUGACAAGAAUUGAGGUUUUGACAACGAUGGAGAUGCCAUUAAAAUAGUUGUGUUGUAUUUUUUACAUGCAUUCAUAUUAUCCACUGAGAAGAACUGCACAACCAUCCCAAGACUACAUUUUGAUUUGGUCGAGAGCGGGAGAGGAUAGUCCGAGCAAUAAUCUUCCGGCAUUAGGAACUUGCUUUUCAAGACAGCCAAAGCAUGGGGGCAUGGUAACUCAUCAACUUGGAACCUGCCACAACUGUAAUUUUUCUUUAGGAGGCAAACGGUGUAAUGCAUUCCUUCUUCAUUCACCAUGUGCAAGUAUUCAGUCGAUGGUACAACCUACAUUAAACGGAGAAAUAUUAGUUUUGGAUAUUUGUACAAAAUAUGUAUCUGUCAAUGAAUACAUGGAUUACAUACAUUAUACAUGAAUACAAGAAAAAAAACAUUUGAAAUACAUUGAAUUCAAACAGUAUACAGUAUUUGAGAAAUACAGUAAUAUACUCUCAAUACAAAUAUAAAAUUAAUGGAUACAACCAAUGAAAUAUACUCAAUACAGCAGUAAUACCAUGUAUUAGGAAUAAAUAAAAUACUGUAAAUACAAAAUAAACUUGAAUACAUUGAAUACAACUAUUAGAUACAACAGAAUACAAGCACUAGGUUUAUUAUAAAAUUUGCAGGCAGUAGGUUACUAUUACAACUUGUAUCCGGCAUAAAUACAUAAUGUAUUCAUAUAUUACAUAUUACAGAAACAUAUCAUGAAAGAAAGCAUAUAUUAUGAAUACAACAUAAUAUAUGUUGUAUAAUAAUAUGCUGCCAUGAAUACACUAUAAAACUAUUACGAAUACAUAUACAUACAGUUGAAUACAACAUAUUGGUGAAGAGUUUGUAAGUAAUAACACUCAAACGUGAUAGCAUUUGACCUAUCAACAUGAAAUUGAAACCUUUUAGCAAUUGCAUAUUCCUCCAUCAACGCCUUCAAUGUGGCCUUGUCCUUAAAGACUUGUCCAACCAUCACUUCUUUUUUAUUAGUAUUUGAAAUAAUCAAAUCCCUUUUCGAUUCGAAAACCUCAAUUGGUUCACCUGAGUUUAAAGAUACAAGUGCAAGUGUAUCAACUGUAUCAAAUUUAUUCACCCCAUCGGUUGCGUCAAGUUGCAUUAGGUUUAUUUGAAAUAAACUUCCUCCAUCUACAAUUUCUUUAUCCAAUGUAGUUAUACACAAUGGAUACAUCCCGAAUUCUCUGUUCUCCUUUUUCAACUCUACAUAUACCUUGUAACUCAUGUCAUUGUGUAUUUUCCUAGGCGUGUAAUUUUUUUCCACUUUGUAUUCAAUUUUAAUUGACUUGGAGCUCAAAUCUAUGCCAAGUUGCUUCGAAAUUAAAGCAACCAAAUAAUUGUACGACGCAUACUCCUUUAUCAAUAUUCCAUCAAUCGAAUAAUCGACAUAACAAUUUUCAAUGUUCCACUUGCCAGAAUGACGAAUUAAUACUGUUAAACUUGCCAUCUAGAAAACUAAAUUUCAAAAUAUUUCUGUAGAUACUUGUAUCAAUUCCGAGCAGAAUCUCGAACAAUAUCAGGAAAACAAAACCUCAAACUGUGUCAGAAAAAAAAGGGGACUGAAACUCUGAAGAAUACUCUAUUUUUUGGUGUUUAGCAUCUGAUAAAUCUUCUCAUUAAUUGGAUUGAUAAUGUUACGUAUUAUAAUUGAUUUAGUUAAGUUAUAUUGGGAGUGUAUGACGUUAAAUUAGCAGCUUUUCGUUAUUAAACAACUAGAGAGACCUAUUAUUACGUUGAUUGUCGUUACUGUAUUCAUGAAUACAUGACACGAAUACAUGCCGUUAUUGUAUUAUUCUUCUUCUUCUUCUUCUUCUUCUUCUUCUUCUUCUUCUUCUUCUUCUUCUUGUUGUUGUUGUUGUUCUUCUUCUUCUUCGUCUUCUUCUUCUUCUUCUUCUUCUCAUCCUUCUUCUCCUCCUUCUCAUCCUCUUUCUUCUUCUUCUCCUCCUCCUCCUCCUUCUUCUUCUUCUUCUUCUUUAAAUUUGAAAACAAGUUUAUAUUUCAGAAUUUAAGAUUUUAUAUUUGACAUUGCAUUGAAGAGAUUGAACUAAUUAAAAUUCGAAAAGAUAGAAGAACUUAACAUUUGAUUUCUGAAGUUGCAUUGAAGAGAUUGAACUAUUUAAGAUUCAUAUUUUCUAAAGUUGCAUUUUAAAGAUAGAAGAACUUAAGAUUUGAUUUCUGGAGUUGCAUUGAAGAGAUAGAAGAACUUCAGAUCCCAGUAAAUAAUUUUUGCAAACGUUUGUGCAAUGCAUGUAUAACUUUAAUGACGACUCCAAAAAUGAGUAUAUGUGAAAAUGCCCUAGUAUUUUUUUUAAAGUUAUACUAUCAUAUAACUCAAAAAUAAAUUGCAAGCACUAGCUUCAUAUAGUAAAUGUAGACGGCUUCGUUUUAUCUUCGAUUCACAAAAAUUUACUACACAUGUGUGAUGGUUUUUGAACUUGGAUAUUUAUCCACUGUUUGAAUUUGAUGGUUAAUCUCUUUGAGAAUCCGACGGACGCAUUUUGAGAAAAAUAAAAUACUUGGGUUAUAUAGUGUGUGUGUAUAUAUAUAUAUAUACAUACACACACACACACAUACACACACAUUGUUUUGCCUUAAAAUCGGACAACAAUUAAACUUAUAAAUGGUUUUAAGGAUAUGUGAUUUCACUUGGCACAAACUGAUAAAUGUCAAAAUUAAUGCUAGAGAUUUAUUGUAAAUAAAGCUAACCAAUAUGAUGAACAACCACGGCCCUCAAGCUAGACCGCCCUCGAACCAGCUAAGUAUGCUAUUAAAAAGUAUGGACUUUAACAACAGAACCUGCAAGAGAAAAUAUGAUAUAUUGCCUUGUUGUGCGUGAAUGUAUAUUGGUUACAUAAUGAUUAAGACCCUCUUUGUAUAGCAGAGUAACCCUAUUUAUGGUAUAUUUCUAAUUACAGAAGUAAAUCUCAUGAUAGGCUAAAUAUUCGAUCCUAACUCAAUAUGUGCCGAUAUUCUAGCCGCUAUCCUCGCCCGAUCAUGGAUAUCUCGACUUUCCGUUAUUCGGCGUAGCAUGCCUCCUUCGAUCUUGCUCAAUCUCUUUCUCGCUUCGGUCUCGAAUUGACCUCGAUCCCAAUCGGCCAAUGAUCCACGAGCUUACCAAUCCAUCUCCAUACCAUGUUCCGAUAUAACUAGGGUCGGGCCUUGGUCUUCCGUCCCGAUUUCGAUUAGUCGUAUGAAGUUAGGCAAGCCCGAUUCUGACCGUAUACAGAUAGUCCCCUCGUUUUUUGGAAUGCAAUGACAAGAAAUGAAUUGAGUCUUCGAAUUCGAUUUAUCAUGUCAUAAGCAUCGUGACGUAAGUGGCAGGGGUGACCGAAACGUCCCAUCGGUUCAGUUUCCCAGGCAUUUAUGGUGCGUCAGUUAUCGGUCGGCCACUAGCAACUUUGAACCGUCGUCGUGGAACCCAUAGAUAGGCCUUUUUUUCACUCCUUCAAAUUUUACUUUCAAUCUCUUCUGCUCUAUUCUUCAAAGCUCCUUGCAUUCCUCAAUUUCCUCAUUUGCAAAUCUUCAAGUUUUAUUGCUAACCUCUUUUUAAAACACCAAAUAUCCUAAUCCCUUUUCUUCCUUGUUCAUAAAAAUGGCUAAGACCUCUAAAACUGUCCCUCAUAAGGAAACUGCCUCUUCAUCAAAGUCCGCCGGCGCCGCAGCCGCAGCGGAACAUCCCCUUGAGGACUUUGUUCCGACGAAGUGUGCUACUGCUGCUGAUUUCAAGGUGGAGAACACACCCCCGAUUCUGUGUCGAUGUGAGCCGAUGUUGAGGUACGUCUGUACGAUUACGGAAGGUCUCCUCGAGAAGAUGAAAGAUGAGUACAACUGGGUAGAAAAGGAUGUAGUAAUUCCUGCCCUCGAGGAAUCCAACACAACUCACGUGGAGGGGUAUCUUAGUGUCUAUACUUACGCCUUCACGAUAGCUCCCUUAGAUCCCAUCAUCGUCGCCUUCUGCAAGAGGUACGAUGUCACUCUAGGCCAAAUCCAUCUUCUGUUCUGGAGGAUCGUAAUCCUUUUUCGAUUCUUUGUAAGCAAGAUCAAGGGCCAUCCUUUUACCCUCGAUCACCUAAUGCAUCUUUAGGGUCCCCGACUUUAUCGUGGAGGCAUGAUCAAGCUUCACCGCUGAUCCACAAUACCCUCGUUCUCGAGCAUAGAUGAGACCCGAGACCGAGGUUGGAUGGGCAGAUUUGUCGGAAUAAAGACUUCGGAUCUAAUCCUUGCCGAAGAUAUGCCGUUCCCCGAAAAGUGGAACAUGAAAUGUAAGUACAGUUUUUCCUUUGAAUAUUCAUUUCGCCGUUUUGCUUCUUGCCUUCCGCUUAUCUAAGGUUUUUGUGUUGUAGCUAUGGUUGUUAUGCUGGAAGUAAUCCCCGACCUGAGACAAUGGGUCUAGGGUUUAGUAUCGCAAAAAUCUUACUCCGAGCGUGCCUGGAUGGAUUUAUCAAAGGGCCAAUGAGAGGACCGUAACCAUGGUAAUAUUCUUUCCUUAGAAAGGUUUCUAUUCGGGUUUUGUUAUUAUAUUUACUUAUAUGUGUCAUUUUGCAAGUCUCGGGAAGGAUGCGCCCAUGAGGCCCCCCUCUUCUGAAGGAGAGGCACUUCUCCCCCCAUCCGCCCCGAAGCAGAUCAAAGAGAAGAAGAGAAAAGAGGUUCCGAGUCCUCCAGGCUGGGAAAAGAAAAAGCCGGUCAAGAGGCCCCGUAAGCCUAAGGGGAAUGUCAUCCAUGUAUCUCUGGAGUCCGCCAAACGGAUAAUGGAUGGGACCGAAGAAGAAAACAAAGAAGAAGAAAAAUCUGAAUUGAUGUCUCGUGUGUAAGCUGGCACCGAGCUUCAAAGAACUAUUGGACAGGUUGGAGCCGAAACAGCUUUGCCCCGAUUCGACAAGCCCGAUCCAGAAAGAGUCGAAGAUGCCUUACUUCGAGGUGGGGAGGCUACCAAGGAGGCGAUCGAGGCCGGUGAAAAAACCGAGCUCGAGGCUUCCUGGAACGAAGACGAUGCCUCUAAAGACCCACUUGGGGCAAUAGUGAUCGGGGACUCCUGCUCAUUCCCUCCAGUUUCGGAUUCGAUGAUAUGUGAUGCUCGGGCUACGGAGACUUGUCACGGAGAGGGAGCCCAUGGAGAGGAAGACUUUUUCCGUGGCUAUUUCGCUGACGUGGAAGAUGUCACCGGUUUGGGCGAUUUGGACGUACCGAGGAAGAACUCGAAUGAGGCAUCCUCGAUCGUAAGUGGCCCCCAGCGUUGACCCCGAUCGUAAGCGGCCUCUUAUAAUCUCGAUCCCAGAAGAUACUCAAGUUUUCUCUGCCCUCGUAGGGGUGGCAAGCUAUCUUCGAUGCUUGGUCACUGAAGAGGACCGGGAAAAAAUGGAUGUAGUGGACGUUGCCUGUUUGUUCAACGAGACCCAGCAUGCUCUGAACCGGGCAAGUUUAAGGGCCGGUAUCUUUUUAUGACUUUGAAUUGCAUAUAUCUCUAAAAUUUUCUUCCUUUCUCAUAGGCUUCGGUGUUGCACCAUGAGGCCUUUCUCCGAAUCCGAGAGGAACGAAAGGCCGAGGUCCAGGGCCUCACGGAGAAAUGUGAUACUUACAAGCUUCUUAGUGAGAAGCUUCAGGUAGACCUGGUCGAGGCUCGAGAAGAGCAUGCCGAGAUGGCCGAGCAGGUAUUCUGAGUUCUUUGUGAUAGCGAGGCUGAGUUAGAGAUAACGACUAAUGAUCCAUUUCUGCAGGUCCGACAAAGGUUUGAAAAGAUCAAGGACUUCCAAACGCAAAUAGAUGAAGUGCGAGCCGAGGCCGAAGAGUUCAAGGGAUGCAUGGACAUUCUGGCCUCACGGAAGGAAACCUCUCAAGCAGAGCUGGAUUCGGCCAAGUCACAGCUUCGAUAUGUAACAGAGAAUGCCUCGGUUCAGGAGAAGAAGGUCGAGGAGUUCGAGUCUAAUUUAGCCAAUUUGGUCAAAGAGCUCGAGGUUGCCAGAUCUGAAGCGGCCGUGGCCAAUUCUAAGGCCCAGGCUACUUAGGCACAAUAAGAAGUCGACGCCGAAGCCACUCUCGAUCAGGCCAGGAGCAUGGUGGACCAUUCAAAGUGGCAGGCCCUAAGGUAAGCUCUCGAAUGGGUCAUUGAGCAAAGUUUUGACAUAUCUGCCGAACUCGAGAUCGCCAAGGCUGAGGAAGCAAAGGCUCGGAAGUUAGCAUUUCCUGACGAGGGUUCCGAGAAUGCGAGCGGAUCUGGUGGAGAAGACUCUGAGGGUGAAGAAACUUCCUCUGAUAAUGAUCGUGCUGCUUAGGCCUAGUAAUUUUCGUUUUUCCUUCGAGGCCGAUCGACCCUUGUAAAGAAUUUAUUUUUUGAUCGGGCCAUGCAGCCCUUGUAAGAAAAACUUUUUAUAUAUGAAAACUUUUUUCUUUCCAUGGUUCCCAAAUAUGUUGUCUUUUAGUUAUUUUAAGCAAAUGUUAAAGUACUUUAGCGCACAGCUAUAUGGUUGUAUUCAACGGUCCCAGAUCUGACAUUCGAACUUAACCUUAGGAGUUUCUGAUAAAUCGGAGCCGAGUGAGAUCAUUUAUCCGGACUCGGAAUAAGGUAAUCUUUGAGUUUGAUGUUCGAGUGAGAAUGUUAUCUCGAAUUCGAAAUCAGGUGGCCCUUAGGCUCGAAGAACAGUUCCCGAGUGGGAAUUUAUUUGAACUUGAGUUAGUAGCCGAGUAAGAGUGAUAUUUCAAACUAGAAGUGAGAAUAGCCCUUAGGCUUUCGUAUUUGGCCGAUAUGUCCUUUGUAGAACAAUUGUUUUAACAUAUAUAAGGCUUUUUACCCCCUUUUUGGCUUUCAAGAAUUCAUGUUCGCAAAGGUUGUAAUGCCUUAGCAUGAAAUAAUGAAGUCGUGUUCGAGAGUUCGAACAAAUUCUUGCUUUAAUUGCCUUUCUGGGUUAAGGUGUUAUCGGAGUUCGAUAUUUAUCGACGUUUUUUCUCAAAAAUAUCUUAAGUAUUAGGUUCCGCCGAGGGUAGGCUUUUAGAACCGGUUGUAAAAAAGUUUGAAGGCCUGUUUUGUUACGGAAUUCGGAUAUCUCCGAGCCGUGUUAAUUUGUUCGUAGCCUUUUAAUUCGAGAUUUGCCCCUUGGGCUUAUUUUCCUGGUUUACUUUGAGCUUGCCUGAAUUAUCAGUCCCCGAGUGGGUCGGCUGUGGCUUAUAAAAAUCGAGGUUUGCCUUUUUAAGGUCUUAUAAUCUCGAGAUUUUAAUAAUUCGAUCUCUUCUAUUUAUCUCGUAUAUUCUUCAGAUGACAGUCCCCGAGUGUGGGGUUAGUUGUUCGAACUUCAGUUGUGAUCGAUCCUUAAGCCUGUUUACAAAAUAGAUCAAAAGUAUGAAUUUGUAAAGUAAAUAUUUAUUUAAGGCAUGAGAUAUUUGGCAACGAAAAAUUACUUCUCUUAAUAGAUACACGCAUACAUGUUUGAUGUCAGGGCUUGAGAAACCUAUAUGGGCACGGUUCACUCGACCAUUUGGCCCUUACAAAAUUUACCUAUCGAGACCCUGCUGUCACGAAGUGAUUUCCUUGCAACAAAGUUGACAUUCGGGGGUGAUACCCCCAAGUAUUCGAGGUUGAUUAUAGAGAAGCCUUGGAUAUUGUUGAAUUGUUAUACGUUAGCACGAAUAAUGGUUUCCUUGUUAAAAACCUCGCUGAAAAAACCCACUUGGGACAAAAAAUCGGUCUAAGGGAAAUACGCGUACUUUCAGACCUAAAGACUCUGUGUUGAAGAAUCCAUCGCCGUCCUCGAUCGAACACCUGCUAUUGGUUAACUUAAAAUAUAAAUGAAAAUGGAUAAGGCCAUACCUUAGCAAUAGUAUCGCUUUAGGAGUGAUACGUUCCAAAUAUUUGGUAAUUGUUUGCCGUUCAUCGUGCCGAGCUUGUAGGAUCCCUUUCCGAUGAUAUCGAGGACCUGAUAUGGCCCUUCCCAAUUUGGACCCAGUUUUCCUUCAUUCAGGUUUCGAGUAUUGAGGGUGACUUUCCUUAGCACCAAGUCCCCAAUUUUAAAGUGUCGAAGAUUGGUUCUUCUGUUGUAGUACCUUUCGAUCCGCUGUUUUUGUGCGGCCAAUCGAACGAAGGCGGCCUCGCGUCUUUCAUCCAAUAAUUCUAAGCUCGUAUUCAUGGCCUCGUUAUUAAAUUAUUCUGUUAUAUAUCAAAAUCUGAGGCUAGGUUCCCCGAUCUCGACCGGGAUAAGAGCUUCGGCACCAUAGACCAAAGAGAACGGUGUUGCCCCCGUGCUGGAUUUCAACGUCGUGCGGUAUGCCCAAAGAAUCUCGGGAAAUAUCUCUCUCCAUUUUCCCUUAGCGUCAGUCAAUCUCUUUUUAAGAUUUUGAAUGAUAAUUUUGUUGGUCGAUUCGGCUUGUCCGUUCCCGUUGGGAUUGUAUGGCAUUGAUAGAAUCCUUUUAAUCUUGUGAUCCUCGAGAAAUUUAGUCACUUUGCUGCCGAUGAAUUGUUUCCCAUUGUUGCACACAAUCUUGGCAGGCAUCCCGAAUCGACAUAUAAUGUGGUCCCAAAUGAAGUCUAUGACUUCUUUUUCUCUGACUUUCUCUAAAGCCCGUGCUUCAACCCACUUAGAAAAAUAAUCAGUCAUAAAUAAAAUAAACUGAGCUUUACCUGGAGCCGAUGGUAGAGGGCCGACAAUAUCCAUUUCCCAUUUCAUGAAUGGCCAUGGGGAUAAGACCGAGUGGAGCUGCUCCCCGGGUUGGUGAAUCAUCGGCGUAUACCUUUGGCAUUUGUUGCAUUUUCGGACGAACUUUUUGGUAUCCUUUUCCAUAUCAGCCCAAUAAUACCCUACUCUGAUAACUUUGUGAACCAGUGAUUCGGCACCGGAGUGGUUCCCACAAGUGUCUUCGUGAAUCUCCCGAAGGACACAGUCGGUGUCUCCCGGUCCCAAACAUAUCGCCAAUGGCCCAUCAAACAUCCUCCUGAAUAGUGUUCCAUCCUCAAGGUGAAUCGUGCUGCCUUCGUGCAUAGAGUCCUUGACUCCUUCGGAUAUGAUGGGAGUUUUUCGUUCUUUAGGUAUUCAAUGUACUUGUUUAUCCAAUCCAGGUCAGGCUUGUAGAGUUUAUUUUGGCGUGGCCUUCUUUGAUUACUAUUCUCGAGAGUUGUACGACAGUCCCCGAGUUAAGUUCGUCAUCCUCGACCGAUGAUCCCAAGUUUGCAAGGGCAUCGGCCUUGCCGUUCUGUUCCCGAGGUAUGUGUUGUAAGGUCCACUCUUUAAACCGGUGCAUAGUUACAUGUAGCUUGUCCAAGUAUCUCUGCAGUCGAUCUUCUCGGACUUUGAAAGUUCUGUUGACUUGGUUUACCACAAGUAGAGAAGCACAUUUGGCCUCGAUGACCUCUGCUCCCAAACAUUUAGCCAGCUCGAGACCUGUAAUCAUUGCCUCAUAUUCGGCCCCAUUGUUAGUUAACUUCAAAGUUCUGAUAGAUUGUCCAAUUAUGUCACCCACGGGUGGCUUCAAAACGAUGCCCAACCCGGACCCUUUCACAUUCGAAGCGUCGUCUGUGAAGAGGGUCCACACCCCGAUGAUGUACCCAAUUUUAAUAAUAGUUCUCUUUUGACCUCGGGCACGAGGGCUGGCAUGAAGUCGGCUACGAAGUCUGCCAAGAUUUGAGAUUUGAUGGCCGUUCGGGGUUGAUACUCGAUAUCAUACCCGCUGAUCUCGACGGCCCAUUUGGCCAGUCAACCUGAAAGUUCGGUUUUGCGCAAGAUAUUGCGAAAGGGAUAGGUAGUUACAACACAAAUCGGGUGAUAUUGAAAAUAUGGUUUUAAUUUCCUAGAGGCACUUAUUAAAGAAAGCGCUAAUUUUUCUAAGUGUGGGUACCGGAUCUCGGCCUUACCUAAGGUUCGACUAGCAUAGUAAACAGGGAAUUACGUACCUUGCCCUUCUCGAACUAGGACCCCACUUAUUGCUAUUUACGAGACUGCUAAGUAUAAGUAGAGUUGCUCGUCCGCUUUCGGGGUGUGAAGCAGUGGUGGGCUCGACAGGUAUCGUUUUAAUUCUACCAAGGCCUAGUGACAUUCUAGGGUCCAUGCAAAAUUGUUCUUCCUCCUAAGCAACGAGAAGAAUCGAUGACUCUGGUGUGAGGACCUCGAAAUGAAUCGCCCCAGGGCGGCUAUGCGCCCGGUUAGCCUUUUCACGACCUUUACAUUAUCUAAGAUCUUUAUAUUCUUGAUAGCUUUGAUUUUAUCCGGGUUAAUCUCGAUUACCCGAUUGGACACCAUAAAGCCAAAAAACUUGCCCGAGCUAACCCCGAAUGAGCACUUUUCUGGGUUGAGCUUCAUAUUAUACUUCCUCAGUAUAUCGAAGGUUUCCUGCAAAUGCUUUAAAUGGUCCUCUACUCGCUGGGAUUUAACUAGCAUGUCAUCAAUAUAAACUUCCAUAGAUUUCCCUAUUUGUUCUUUGAAUAUUAGAUUCACUAGGCGUUGAUAAGUUGCACCAGCAUUCUUUAGUCCGAACGACAUUACGUUAUAACAAUAGGUGUCGUAUUUAGUGAUGAACGAAGUCUUUUCCUGAUCCCCCUGGUUCAUCUAUAUUUGAUUGUAUCCGGAGUAGGCAUCGAGAAAACUGAGAAUCUCGUGGCCGGCCGUGGCAUCGAUUAUGCGAUCGAUAUUCGGCAAAGGAAAAGAAUCCUUAGGGCAGGCCUUGUUUAAGUCCUUAUAUUCUACGCACAUUCUAAGUUUAUUUCCCUUCUUCGGGACUACCACUACGUUUGCUAGCCAUUCGGGAUACUUUACUUCCCGAAUGGAUCCUAUUUUGAUAAGUUUGGUUACCUCGUCCUUGAUGAAGGCAUGUUUGAUCUCGGACUAGGGCCUUCUUUUUUGCUUCACCGAGCGGAAUUUUGGAUCCAGACUCAACUUGUGAGUGGUAAUUUCCGACGGGAUCCCUGUCAUAUCGAGGUGGGACCAGGCAAAACAAUCCAAAUUAUCUUUAAGGAAUUGAAUAAGUUUUUUCUUGAGCUCGGGACUGAAUCCCGUGCCCAGGUAUACCUUUCGAUCGGGCAGAUGCUCGAUCGGUAUGAUUUGUUCCAGCUCUUCGACUGUUGAUUUUUUGGCGUCAGAAUCAUCGGGGAUUAUGAAGGAUAGGGGGAUCAUAUAGUCAUCAUCCUCGUAAAUUUCCCAUUCCUCCGGUUGGGCCGAGGCUGGCGACUGUGGUUGCUAUUUGACUUCCAGCUCUCCCUUUGAAUUCGAUCUCUUUGCUGAUGAAAGUGUUGAUACCGGUGUCACCUCAUCGAUCGUAAAUAUCUCCUUGGUGGAGGGUUGCUCCUCGUACACUGUUUUGACUCCCUUCGACGUCGGGAACUUCAGAACUUGGUGAAGGGUCGAAGGCACUGCCCUCAUGUUAUGGAUCCAAGGCCUUCUGAGCAGGGCGUUGUACCUCAUGCCACCCUCGAUUACAUGAAACUUUAUUUCUUGGAUGGUCUCGACCACGUUCACUAGCAAGAUAAUCUCAUCUUUGGUGGUUUCGCUCGCCAUAUUGAAGCCGUUAAGUACUCGAGCUAUGGGCACAAUUUGAUCUUGUAGGCCGAGCUGUUCUACGACCCUCGAUCGAAUAAUGUUGGUCGAGCUACCUGGAUCAAUCAAAACACAUUUAACUUGAAUUUUAUUCAUAAGGACAGAUAUUACCAAUGCGUCAUUAUGAGGUCGUUUGAUCCCUUCUGCAUUCUCGUCGUUGAAAGAAAAAGUCUCUUCUGGUAAGUAAUCCUGUUCUCGCUUUUCUCUUAUGAUCGUCACUUUGGUGCAUUUAAACACUAGUCUUUGUGGAAUAUUGACCCCUUCUACGAUCAUGUGAAUCACGUGAUGUGGCUCUUCCUACUCGUUCUGACUGUUUGAAUCUAUGUUUUUAAAGUGAUUCUUGGCUCAAUCACUUAAGAAUUCCCAAAGGUGCCCCUCGUUGAACAAUCGGGCUACUUCCUCCCUUAGCUGUCUGCAAUCUUCUGUUUUAUGGCCAUGCGUACCAAGAUACUCGCAUAUUUGGUUGGGAUUUCUCUGGGCCGGAUCGGUCUGCAGAGGUCGAGUCCAUCUAGUAUCUUUGAUACGUCUAAUGGCCGACACUAUGACAGAAGCAUCUACAUUGAAGUUAUAUUCUGACAAUUGAGGUGCUUCUUUAGAUCCGGCAUUACUAUCGAAACCAUUCUUGCUCAUAAGCCCUCGGGAGCUCUGUUCUCGAUCAUUCCGAAUGGGGUUUUGUACAGGGCAAUUAUCUCUCCGAUCUUCACCGUAUCGAUCUCUGUUCGACCACGGUUCCCGGUCGAAUUCCCUUUUAACUCUUUCCACGGGCCUGUUAGGAUAAAUUGAACCAAUUGGAGCCCCCAAUUGAUCAUCCUCGACCCUGAUCUUCGACUGAUACCGAUUAUGCACAUCGGCCUAAGUGACAGCUGGAUACUCGAUCAAAUUCUGUUUUAGCUGUUGUGAAGCUACGAAACUUCGAGCAUUGAGGCCUUGAGUAAAGGCUUGAACGACCCAAUAGUCGGUGACCGGUGGCAAAUCCAUCCGUUCUAUUUGGAACCGAGACACAAAUUUCCUGAGCAUCUCGUUGUCUUUUUUCCUUACCUUGAAAAGGUCUAAUUUUCUUGUGGCUACCUUGAUAGCUCUGGCGUGUGCCUUUACAAAAGAAUAUGCAAGCAUAUCGAACGAAUCAAUAAAAUUAGGUGGUAAAUUAUGGUACCAUAUCAUAGCUCCAUUCGAUAGAGUUUCCCCGAACUUCUUCAGCAACACGGACUCAAUCUCGUCAUCUUCCAAGUCAUUUCCCUUAAUGGCGUACAUGUAUGAGGUAACGUGCUUGUUUGGAUAUGUUGUCCCAUUAUAUUUCAGGAUUUCGGGCAUACGUAACUUCUUGGGGAUUGGCUUUGGAGCCGCACUCGAGGGAAAAGGUUUUUGGACAAACUUUUUGGAAUCAAGUCAUUUCAACACCGGUAGUACCCCCGGGAUUUGGUCGACCCUGAAAUUAUAAGUUUCCACUUUUUUAUCGUUUUCCUCGAUCCUUUUUUCUCCUGUUUCGAUUCGCUUCGUCAGAUCCUCAAGCAUAUUUAUGAUAGCAGGAUUGGUCUCCGUUCUCCUCCAUUCGAUUUCUUUGAUACCGAUUCGGCUCUAUGAACAAUUUCUUGCGAUGACUCGAUCUCAAUCCUGCUUGGUGCACGAUUCUGAUUCCGAAGUUGUGCUAUUGCAGCAUGUUGAGUCUGCAACAUUUCGAAUAUCAUUCGAAGGCUAAUCCCACCUUCUCUACCGCCCUAUGCGUUCUGAUCAGUUGUUCGAGCAUCUCUGCGGACGCUAUUUUCAGGAUCGUCGCCCAAAUUCCCAUUAAUAGCAAUAUGGGAGCUGUCGUCGAUUGGAUCCGCGGCCGGAGCUCUAUCGGGGUUUACUGGAGGUACUCCGUUUCUUGGGGCGGCUAUGUUGUCAUUCUCGCCAUAGAGACCGAUGCCAUCGUUUGUGUAUGUGGGUGCUACUUGAGAGUUUGACAUGUUGAUCCUGGAAUCAAACACACUUCAAAGAACAAGCGUAAAAUUAUGUGUGUUACGAAAAUUAUACCAAACAAUCACUAUUAUCCUUAGCUCCACGGUGGGCGCCAAACUGUUUUGCCUUAAAAUCGGACAACAAUUAAAGUUAUAAGUAAUUUUAAGGAUAUGUGAUUUCACUUGGCACAAACUGAUAAAUGUCAGAAUUAAUGCUAGGGAUUAAUUGUAAAUAAAUCUAACCAAUAUGAUGAACAACCACGGCCCUCGAGCUAGACCGCCCUCGAACCAGCUAAGUAUGCUAUUAAAAAGUAUGGACUUUAACAAGAGAUCUUGCAAGAGAAAAUAUGAUAUAUUACCUUGUUGUGCGUGAAUAUACGUUGGUUACAAAAUUAUUAAGACCCUCUUUAUAUAGCAGAGGAACCCUAUUUAUGGUAUAUUUCUAAUUACAGAAGUAAAUCUCAUGAUAGGCUAAAUAUCCGAUCCUAAAUCAAUAUGUGCCGAGAUUCCCGCCACGAUCCUCACCCGAUCACAGAUAUCUCGGCUUUCCGAUAUUCGGCGUAGCAGGCGUCCUUCGAUCUUGCUCAAUCUCUUUCUCGCUUCGGUCUCGAAUUGACCUCGAUCCUGAUCGGCUAGUGAUCCACGAGCUUACCAAUCCAUCUCUGUACCAUGUUCCGAUAUAACUGGGGCCGGGUCUNNNNNNNNNNNNNNNNNNNNNNNNNNNNNNNNNNNNNNNNNNNNNNNNNNNNNNNNNNNNNNNNUAUAUAUAUAUAUAUAUAUAUAUAUAUAUAUAUAUAUACACACACUAGUUUCUUUGUUGAGAAUUAUAAUUCAAUCCUUUAAAUACUAACUUGACACUCACAAAAAUAUAUGGAAAAAUGCAAGUUGAGCGAAGCAAACCAGUUAUUUGAUUUUUGUAUAGCAUACAGGUCUAUUAUUUUUUUCAAAUAACUGAUACCUAUUAGUUAAGAUUACAGUUUAUUCAUAUUGGUACAUUAAUUUUAGAUCCACUGUUCGCCAGGAAUUUUUUUAGCCUUAUAGAGAUUUUAUAGGACUGUAAGAAAUAUGUUCUUUAAAUAUAAAAUUAAGGCGAAUUUAAAGGAAAUGAUAUAAAUAAUGAGAAUUCAUAUUCUGAUGAUUUCUUUUCUUUUUUUCCCCUCACUUGGUGUUCUAUAUCAGUAUUGCGACUCCGAUUAAUUUGGAUUCGUAUAGUAUAAGACCAACUAAAGAUAGAAAUGCUUUCCAUCAGAUAUUUUUUAUUCUAGGAGUUUCGAUUACAAGAAUCCUAUUUAUCGGACCACAAGUUGGAGGUUAUUGUGAUGGUCUCUAACAAAACUGAAAGUGGCGUAGUUAUAUAUAGUUGGAUGCAAACCUAUCAUUUGUGCUAUUUGGUUAGAAGAAAUUAUUAGAGAGUGGACGAGAGGGAGAAAGGCCGGGGGAUCACAUGGCAAAGAGUUCAAAAAAGAGAGAUUCUCCCACAUCUCAAUCAUAGCAAUUGUCAUCUGCCUCAUGAUUUAUGUCUUGAAAACUCGACGCCCAUUUCUCCCUGUCUCUUCCCCGAACCCCUUUUCUUCUCUUUAAUCAGACAACAGAAACCUCAAACUAUCAUUAAUUUCCUUUUCCUCUCCUCCAUCUAAUCUCACGUGACACACACUCCAUGUUUGAAGAUUUAUAUAUUGUCCGUUAUUUAUUAUUUUGUAGUCUAUUUUCGUCCUAUGAUAAUCUCCUCUAGCUUGGCAUAGCUUAGCUUCACUUUAUCAGGUUCAUUCUCGAAAAGGAGAAAAAGUAAAACAAGAAAAAAGAUUAAAUUUUUUCUUAUAGUUAUCUUAAACCUUAUGGGGUCGAAAGUCAAAGGGUAAAACAUAGGGUUGAACUUUGAUUCUGGUCGAUGCUACAUUUUUAUGAAAAAAAUAAUGUACCUUCUUUAUCAAUAGACAAUAAUGGCUAAAGGAAAGGCUGUUUUUCUGGAUUUCUAACAAAGGCUUUUUGGUUUAAAUCCUUUUCUUUUUUUUUGUCUUUAAGUUGAUGAUGCAUCCUUAACCUGUUUAAGUAGAAAUAAUCAUCAUCUCCUUGCAUGCAUCAUGCACGGAAUUUGGAUUAAUUCACCACUUCUAGAAAACCCAUAAUCAUUAUUGGCACUAAUAGGGAGGAUAAUCUAAACAUGUACUUCAACAUGCAUAUGUUAUUUGUCAGGAAAAAAAAAGAAAUGAAAGAGAAAGAGUUUGCAUGUCCUAUUCUCCUUGCUUUUUUCCCGGGUAAAAACUUAGUGGGCGUUUGGACAUAAGAAUUGUAAAAUUCCAAAAUAGAGGGAAAAAAAUUUCAAAUGAAAAUGGUAUUUGAAAGCCCGUUUGGACAUAAGAAACUUUUCCUUUUUUUUCAAAAAAUUUUCACUUUUUUUCGAAAUCAAAAUUUCCAAUUUUCACUUGAAGAUGCAUUUUGGAAGUUUUUCGAAAUUGAAAAACUCCAAAAAGAUGUUUUUCAAAAUUUUCACUCAGAUUACUCAUAAAACUUAAAAAAUAACCCAAAACUAUAUUCAUGUCCAAACACAACUCUAAUACCAUUUUCACUUGAAAUUUUUUUUUACUUUUUUUUGGAAUUUUACAAUUCUUAUGUCCAAACGCCUUUGUUUGGACAUGAAUAUAAUUUUGGGUUGUNNNNNNNNNNNNNNNNNNNNNNNNNNNNNNNNNNNNNNNNNNNNNNNNNNNNNNNNNNNNNNNNNNNNNNNNNNNNNNNNNNNNNNNNNNNNNNNNNNNNNNNNNNNNNNNNNNNNNNNNNCGAAAAUUUUCAAAAUGCAUCUUCAAGUGAAAAUUGAAAAUUUUAUGAACAAACGCUGAUUUUGAAAAAAAGUGAAAUUAUUUUAGAAAAAAGAGAAAAAUUUCUUAUGUCCAAACGGGCUCUAAGUUGCAUUUGGUGUUUACACCAGAUGAAUAAUAACAUGGCAUGUAUCUUUUGCAUAUUUUUUCAUCAUCCAACUUUGGUUAAUUAUUAUGCAUUUUUGGCUCAUUUAUACUUAGGAAAAUCAAGUAUAUUGACUUGAUGUGAACACCAAAUGUGGAUACGUAAUCAAUUUUUAUCCUCUUCUUGUCCUAAAAUUUAUUCUGAAAUCAAUAAGGAAAAUAGUAGUGUUUAUAUGUAUUCAUCAGCUAACUUGACCAACGUACAUAAAAAGACGACAUAGAUUUAUUUGUAAUACAAGUAGAAUGGGAAAGGCUUCAAAUUAUAAUAAAACAAUUACCUCCAGAUUAAAAGAAAGAUUCACUCUGUGAGUCCAAAUAUUGUGACUAGUCUUUCAAGGAAAAUAAGGAGUAAUGAGAAUGUAAAUACCUAAAUUAAAUUGGAAUAAUGAUAACAAUGUAAACUAUAUAGUCAUUUAUCGAAUGUAACAUGUCAUGCAGGCUAAUUUCGAAAGUCAGGUUAGUUCUAGUCCCUUAGAUUUGAUGUUUAACCUUUAAGUCUCUGCUAUAAUACUCUCAUUGUUUCAAAUUAGAUGAGAUACUUUUGUUUUUAGUCUGUUCCAAAAUAAAAGAAAUAUUUAUAAAUUUAGAAAUAAUUCAACUUUAAACUCUUCAUCUGACUCAUUUACCCUUAAUGAGAAGCUUUUAUAACCACACAAAUGUCAUUGUCCCACGAAGCUUUUACCCUUUAAUCUUUUAAGACCGCAAGUUUCAAAAAUUUUCUUUAUUUUUUUCUUAAAUUACUUCGUCUAAAUUAAAACGGAAGGAAGUAGUAUAUGUACUUAUUAGUGGACAUUAAAAGGCAAUGCAUGCUGAUAUAGCUGAGGCCUUCCAUAAUCACAUAGAGUGGAAGUGUGGACAACAACCUUUCACUUCCUUUAAACUAUAUAAACUCAAUGCAAAGCCAUAUUAUUUUAAGACUUGUAAAGUCUCAGUCUUCUAGUUGCCUACGCAAAUGAUUACUAGUUAAUAAAAUUUUAUUUUUUUAAACAAGGCAAAUCAAUUUGCUCGCCAAAGAUGCCUUUUUUCUUUCUUUUUUCCUUACUUUUUGUCACUUCGAACAAUAUUUUUCUGUCAAUUGCAGUAAUCAUGACGAUUGGGCACAUAAGCCUAUAUUUAAUCACUAUUAUUAACCUAAAUAUAUAGAGAGGUAACUUCACUUCCACUAUUAAGCUCCACAGUAAAGUAUACUAGUAUAGUACUACUUCCUCUAUUUUAAUUUAAAUAACACACUUUUUUUAUUAAUAUAUUUCAAAAAGAAUGAUAUGUUUUUAUAUUUAGAAAUAAUUUAACUUUAAAUUUUUCAUUUUACAUACUUUACCCUUAAGGAAAUUUUUUUAUAGCCAUACAAAUAUUAUAACCCUACAAAAUUUUUGCUCCUUAAACUUUUAACAUCACAUAUUUUAAAAAUUAUUUUUUUUUUAUUAAAUUUUAUACCAAGUCAAAUUAGAUCGUCUAAUUUGAAUCGGAUGGAGUAACAUGUUCCGGUAAAAGAAAGUGAACACAUAUAGUGUUUAGAAUUACAAUUAAGGGCAGAAACGAAGGCCAUUUUAUGAGUGUCCAAAUGAUUUAAUCAUGGCUCUGACAAGUGCUGCUGUAUGCCAACUGGUCGUGUGAACUCUCCAAGAAUUUUAAUGACUAAUUUCAGACAUUAAGACAGAAAGGGGAGCGUGGGGUGAAGCAGAAGCAGAUACAGUGGCUCGCACUUUAUACCUUUUGCGUUCGUUAAUUUUUUGGCUUAAUAUUAUCACGCCAUCAGAAAAAAUAUAGAUAUAUUUUUCUCUUUGUGAAACAAGUAAUAUUUCUUAAUGUAUAUCGUAACAGUACAAUGCUAUAUAUAAAGCACAUCUACCUGUACAGAUAACAUACUUAUCUUCUUAAGUAUAAAAACUAAUUCAAAAUAAUUUAAGUUACAUAGUUAUCACUUAUCACUCCCCUCAAGCGAUGCUCGGUCUGAAAGAAUGCAGAGUUUGUCGCGUAAGAACAAUGCCCGUGGUGAAGGAAGUGCCUUGGUCAAUAAAUCAGCAAGUUGAUCUUGGCUAGGGACAUAUUAAAUUUGGAGAGCACCCGAGGCAACUUUUUCACGAACAAAAUGAAUAUCAAUUUUAACAUGCUUGGUACGAGCAUGCUUGUGCCAAAUAAAUGCUGCUAAUAUUGUCACAAAAAAUUGUAAAAGGUGAAGAAAGAGAAAUAUGGAUUUCCCGUAGUAACGAAAGUAACCACGUUAUUUCAGCCGCAGCGUGGGCAACUACUCUAUAUUCAGCUUCAGCACUUGAUCUAGAAACAACAUUUUGCUUCUUAGAAGACCAGGAAAUAAGAUUAGGACCAAGAAAGAUACAGUAGGCCAAAGUAGAUCAACGAGUGGCAGGGCAUCCAGCCCAGUCCGCAUCACUGUAGCAUUUUAAAUUGUCAAUGGAACCACCAUAAAUAAAUAAACCAUGAUCCAAGGAACCUUGCAAAUAACGUAGGAUUCUUUUGACAGCAGUAUAAUGAAUGUCCAAGGGAGCAUGCAUAAAUUGAGACACUUAAUUAAUGAUAAAAGCAAUAUCUGGACGGGUGAAAGUUAAGUACUGGAGACCACCAACAAUACUUCUGUGUAGAGUAAGAUCAGAAAAGGGAGGAGAAUUUGUAGAAUGAAGUAGAGACUUAGGAGAAAGAGAAGUUGAAACUGGUUUGGAAGAAAGCAGGUUUGCACGACUGAGAAGUUCUUUAACAUACUUGGAUUGACAAAGAAAAUAAAUCCCAUUGCGAACAAUUAUAGAAACACUAAGAAAGUAGUUAACUGUCCCUAAGUCAUUCAUUGAAAACUCGGACUUGAGUGUAUGAAUUAAAGAUUUAAGUAACAAGUGAGAGGAAGCAAUGAGAAGAAUAUCAUCAACAUAGAGAAGAAGAAUAGCAAUAGCUGAGUUGCUCUGAAUAAAAGAAGUAAAUCGAUGAAACCAUGCUCGGGGGGGAGGGGGGGUGGUGGUGGUGGUGGUUUGCUUUAAGCCAUAAAGAGCUUUGUUCAACCGACAAACAUGAUGAGAAAAUUAUGGAUGAACAAAACCGGUAGGCUGCUUCAUGUAUACCAAUUCGUUAAGCUUGCCGUGUAAAAAGGCGUUCUUAACGUCUAAUUGAUGCACAUGCCAGUGCUUAGAUGCAGCAAGGGAAAGAAUAUUACGAAUGGUAACUGGUUUCACCACAGGAUUAAACGUUUAAUCAUAGUCUAGUCCUUGUUGUUGUUUGUAGCCUUGGGCUACAAGACGAGCCUUAAAACGCUCUAGAGAACUAUCCGAUUUUUGUUUAAUUCGAUACACCCAAUGACAACCAAUGAUAUUAGCGUGAGAGGAAGGUGGUACUAAGUCCCAAGUGCGAUUAGCCAUAAGUGUGUUAUAUUCGUCGGCCAUUGCACGCCUCCAAUAAGGACACUUAGAAGCUUCUGUAUAAGAUAAAGGUUCAAAUAGAAGUGAAGAGGAAUGAGAAAUCAAGGAAGGAAUUAUUCGUGGCUUGAGAGAUCCUGUUUGCUUACGGGUAAUCAUGGGAUGUGAUUUAGAAUUAGAAGAAGGUAAGUUUGAAAAUUGAGUUUGAGAAAUAGAAGAGACGUGAUGUGGGAUGGGAGAUGAAUUGGUGAUGACAUUGAUUGACUGUGAAGUAUUAGUAUUAAGAGGUAAAGGAGUGGGCGGCUAAUAUUUGGAGAGGAGUUGGAGAUGUCACGAUGGGAUGGGAAUGUAUUUUGAGGUGGAGGAAAGUUAGAAUUAUUUUGAGGUAGUUGGUUAGAUAUAUUUUGGAUAGGAAAAGAUUGUCGAGGUGGCAAUGUAGUUUGAUGGCUAGAAGAGUUAAAAUUGUGAUAAUUUCCUGGAGAGUGUAACGUAAUUGGAGAUAAGGCUUGAAGUGAAGAAUUAGGAGGCAAAAUAGGAGAAAGGUUUUCAGCAUUAACAGGAGAUAAUAAUUGUGCACAUCGUUGAAAACUCCUAUGCUGAAAAAUAGGAGAUAAAGGAGAAUGAAUACCAAUUGAAGAGGAAAAUUUAAAAAGGGCACAAGAGUUAGGUUCAGAUAACGUUGAGGGGAGAAGAUAAGGAUAAGGAAAGAAAUCCUCAUUGAACCUAACAUGUCUAGAGAUAAAUACUUUGUUACUAGAAGGAUCAAAACAUCUAUAUCCCUUGUAGUUAGAGGGAUAGCCAAGAAAGAUACAAUGGGUUGAACAAGGACUCAACUUGUUAGAGAAAUAAUCACGUAAAUUGGGAUAACAAGAACAACCGAAAACACGUAGAUGAUAGUAGAUAGCAGCCUUGCCAAAAAGAGCUUCAUAUGGUGUCUUAAAGUGAAGCUUAGACGAAGGAAGCAUAUUUAAAAGAUGGACAACAGUAUGCAAAGCUUCGACCCAAAAUUGAGAGGGAAGAGAAGCUUGAAAUAAUAAUGAAUGAACCAUAUUUAAUAUCGUACGAUGCAUCUGUUCAACUUUGCUAUUUUGUUGGUGAGUGUGAGGGUAUGAAAUGCGAGGCAAGACACCAUUAUCAUCAAGAAACGAACGAAAAACUUGAAGUUUAACAAAUUCAGCAGCCCAUCACAUUGAAAAGACUUUAAUUUUGUAAAGAAUUGGGUCAAUACAUAGGCAUAAAAAUGCUUAAAGGUGGUGAAGCAUCAGAUUUACGCUUAAGAGGAAAUACCCAAGAGAACUUUGUGAAAUUAUCAUGAAAUAAAAUAUAAUAGCAAAAAUCAGUAAAAGAGGAAAUAGGGGAAGUUCAAAUAUCACUAUGAAUUAACUCGAACGGAGAUGAAGAAAAAGAACUAGAAUCCAUAGAUGGUAACUUCUGGUGCUUGCCAAGUUGACAAGCAUUACAUAAAUACUCUAAACAUUUGAAUGAAGAACAAGGUAACUUAUUGACCCUAAUUAAACUAGCUAAAACAACAGAGCUUGGAUGUCCUAUACGGCGAUGCCAAAGGUUUGGAGAGACACGAGCAGCAGCAAGACCAGAGUGAGAAGCUGCAGCAUAAUCACCAAAAUGAGAAGAAAUUGAAUAAAGUGGUCCACGACUAUUGCAGCGAAGGAGAUGCCUCUUCGUUAUGAGUUCCUUAAUCGAAAAACCAAAAGGAUCAAAUUCCAUGGAACAAUUACUAUCCGUAGUAAAUUUUUGAAUACUUAGUAAAUUGGUGGAAAGAUGAGGAACAAUUAAAAUAUCUCAAAGCGAAAAGCGAGAAUUAGAAUUAGAGAGAGUACCAUGUCCAGUAUAGGAGAUAGGAAGUUGAGUUCCAUUACCCACAACUACACAAUCCGAGCCAUUGUAUGGAGUAACUGAGGAUAAAUUGGAUGCAUUUGGAGUCAUGUGUGAAGUUGAUCCAGUAUCCACAAACCAAGAGGCAUCACCAAGUGAAGAAAAUGAGUAGUUGGAACUAAUGUCUAACACAAAGACCUUAGAAUUUAGAGAUGGACAAUCGCGAGCAGUGUGGUGUGGCUGAUAGCAUAGUUGGAAAUAAAGAUUCACAUUAUUAGGUUGGGAGGGAAUGAAAGCAGUAGGAAAAGAAAUUGGAGGAGGACCUAGAAUGGAAGGAAGACGUGGACAAGGAGUGAACUGUUGAGACCCAACAUUAAAGGAUUUGGUAUUCCCUUGAGUGUGGCGACCUCGACCACGUCCACCAUUGGAAUAAUGCCCACCAUUGUUAUUAUGACCACGUCCACGACCAUAAGAGGAAGAAGAUUUUUGCUUAGCCACAAAAGCAGUGGUGGAAUUAUCUGUAGAAGAACUAGAGAGACUAGUUAAUUGGGCUUCAUGAAGAAAAAGUAGAGAACGCGCUUCAACAAAGGUAGGAAGAGGAACACGAGUAGAGAUAGAGGUGCUCACAUACAUAUAUUCUGGAGUUAAUCCAAAAAGUAUUUGUAGAACAAGAUCAGAUUCAGAGAUUGGAUUGCCUAUGGAUGUCAAUGCAUCUGCAAUGGACUUGAGACGAUGGACACAUUCAUUAAUUAAAAGAUUACCUUUCUUAAGGUUGUGAAACUGGACUUUCAGUUGAAGUGUCCGAGAACUGACUUGAUCACGGAAUAAAUGCUCGAUUUGAAGCCAUACGUCUCUAGAAGUGAGAGAAUAAUUUGGCUUGAUAAUAGCUUGAAGAAUUUCUUGAGAAAUAUUUGCUUGAAUCCAUGAAAUAAUAAUGGAGUCAAGUUGAAUCCAUUGUUGAAAGGAAGGAUUCGGGAUAGAGGUACCAUCAUCAUGAAGAAUAGUAGGAGCAGGACAGGGAAAACUUUCAUCAAUAAAACCAUUAAAACCAUGACCUUUGAAUACCGGUAAGAAAAGCUCUCUCCAUAACAUAUAGUUUGUAAAGUCAAGAACAGUAGGAAUAAGAUUUUUAAUGUUGGAGAUGAAAAUAGCAGAGGGAGAGGAUAGAAGAAAGGAGGAAGUGUUAGUCAUGGAGGCCGGGGAUGUAGGAACUGAUUCAGUAGAGGAGUUGGGAGCCAUGAUUCAACAGAGGAGAAAAACAAAACCUAGACUUCUGAUACCAUGAAACAAGUAAUAUUUCUUAAUGUAUAUCAUAACAGUACAAUGCUAUAUAUAAAGCACAUCUACCUGUACAGAUAACGUACUGAUCUUCUUAAGUAUAAAAACUAAUUCAAAAUAAUUUAAGUUACAUAGUUAUCACUUUGAUCUCUCAUGGAGCUCAACCGUGAAGAUAAUUUUAAAGUAUAACCACAAUUUGAGAGGUAAAUUCUGAUUAUGUUUUUGAAGAAUUUGGACACUUGAAAUUUAUUCAUUUCAAGUGAAGCUCUAUUAAUGGCAAAACUAAAUAGGAAGCAAUUCGCUAAAGGAAUAAUGUCAAACACAUAUAUUUUAUAAAGUACAAGUUGGGGGUUGUUUGGCAUGGUGUAUAAGAAUAGUGUUGAAUAUAGUAUAUUAGUUAUGUUGGGAAUAGUUACGUCGAGAUUAUUUCUUAUCAACUAUUUAGUUUUGUGUAUUAAAAAAUAAUAUGCAUUGUAUAUUUCUAUAAGAAAAAUGAUUUCUAUGAAAAAAUACCUUCGACGGUUUGAAAAGGAUUUGAAUUUUUUUCUGAAAGGGUAGUUCUGUCUUUAUAUAUGCUUAUCUAUAUAUUAAAAAUUAUGAUAUUAUUAAUAUCAUGGUUUGCUAUGUAUAAGAAUUGUAUUGAAUAGGGUAUAAAACUAAGACAAGUAUUAAUUGUAUAUAGGUUGAAAAAAAUAAAAUAUUAGUAAUACCAAAGCUAAUAAGAUUUUUUAUUAGAUAGUAUUUUUUCGCUCCUGCUUCUCUCUAGGCGCUGGUUAGCCUAACGUGCGCCCUGGAGGUCCAUGGGAAAGGGACGAGGUCGGGGAAGAGGAAGACCUAAGAAAGAGAUACAAAUUCCUUUUGGGAGUGCAGUGCAUAUUCAAUCCAAAGUGGAUGCUUCAACAUCCAAACAAUCAGCUACCAAAAUUCCAAUGUAACAUUUACCCGCAUCAGAACCUUCAACGAGCUCAACAACUGAGAAGCGACAGGUAGUGGAGCCGGUGGAAGAGGACAAAACACCACUACAAGUGAGAUCUCAGGCGGAGGGUGGAACGCAACUGAAGAUAGCUGAGGAUCUGGUGGAUAAGUCACCUACUCAAACACAGGGUGUGAAAGUCCCAACACAGAGCAACCCUGAAAUUAAAGAGGCAAAUAAGGAGAUUCCUACAGAGCAAGAGGCAGUUGUGAAUAAACCUAAGUGAAACUCGUUGUUUGCUGGAAAUAGAACUGCGGAAAAUGGUAUGACCUUAACCUAUUUCCUGCUUCAAAAUUUUAAUGGAGAAACUAUAGUCCAACUAGAAAAAAUUGAAGUAGAGAAGGAAACAGAAAAAUGGAAGAAUGCCCUUAUUGUCUAUGUGACGGGAGAAACACCAGGGUACUCCCUCAUGAAUAGGUAUAUAUCCCAGAUGUUGAAUACCAUAGCUAUACCAGAUCUGUUUCUUCAUGAGGAAGGUUAUUAUAUGGCUCGAUUUUAUGAUGUUAAAGAUAUGAAUGAGAUUCUAUUCUCUGGCCCUUAUACUAUUCGAAAUCGACCAAUUAUUCUGAAACCAUGGACCCCUGCUUUUGAUUUUAGCCAAGAGUUCAUGACUGAGAUACCACUGUGGGUUAAGUUCCCCAAAUUACCUAUGAGUUUCUAGGGAUGAGGUUCCUUGGGAAGAAUUGCUAGUGCAUUAGGGAAACCUUUGUUUGCGGAUGAAUGUACAACUAAGCAAACAAGGAUCUCAUAUGCCAGAAUGCUAAUUGAAGUAAAUGUGUCUAAACCACUGCCUGACACAAUUACAGUUAUGGAGCCAAAUGGACAAAAAUUUCAGCAGGAGGUGGUAUUUGAAUGGAUGCCCCAAUUCUGUCCUCAAUGCUUAACUAUAGGAUACAUCUUCUCUAAGAAGAUACCUGAACAACAGUUGAUGGAGAGGCAAAUACAGAACAUGAGUAGAGGUAAACAGAAGAAGGUGGUUCAGGAAUGGAAGCCUAAAGAGGUACCAUCAACUAGCCAAAAUAUGGAUAAACAGCAGCCGGAUCAUCUUGAGGUAGCUCAGCCUAGAGUAUCUAUUAAUGAAAGCAAACAUCAACAAUAAGAAGCUAACUCACAAAAUCAAGUAGCAACUCCAGAUGGAACAGUGAGGAAUGCCUCUAAAGGAAAGGAGCAAGUGCCAAGCCCGGAAUUGAACUUGAUCAACUUUCCAUAGUUGAGUGCUGCUAUGGCUAGCAAAUCUAAAACUGGGAAAGUACUGCCUUUGCAAAGAGAGGACCAGAGAACCAGACAAGCAAAACCUCCUGAUUUGGGAGGUAAUACAACUUCUCAAUGACUUGGAUUAUGUGGAAUAUUAGAGGUGUAAAUAAAAUGUAUAAACAGAGAGAGUUAAAGGAAUAUAUAAGGUCAAAAAAUAUCAAAAUACUGGGCCUGUUGGAAACCAGAGUUAAGCAACAUAGAUGUCCAGAAAUAGCUAAGACUAUUACUCCCAAUUGGGGUAUUAUUAAUAACUACUCCUCUGCUGUCAAUGGAAGAAUAUGGCUUAUGUGGGAUCAAGGAGAUUACAAUAUAACUGCACUAAAAGUGGAAGCUCAAUUAGUACAUUGUGAAGUUAGAGAUUUCUCUUCUAACUUUCAAUGUGUUCUGACUAUUGUCUAUGGAUUCAAUAUUGUGGAGGAAAGGAGAUCUCUAUGGAACACUCUUAAAAACAUCUCGUGUAAUACUAACUGCCCAUGGCUAGUGUGUGGGAACUUUAAUGCAAUAUUAUCGACUACUGAUAGAAAGAGCUGCCAUCCUGUGAGUUUUAGUGAAGUAAAGGAUUUUUCAAACUGUAUCACUGCCAUUCUACUAAAUAAAUUACAAUGGAAAGGUGAAUAUUUCACAUGGUCAAAUAAGCAACAAGGAUCAGAGAGAGUUAGUAGCAAAAUUGAUAGAGCAUUUGGUAAUUAUGACUGGAUGAUGUUGUGGGGCCAUAUUAUCUUAGAAUAUGACCUCCGUAACAUUUCAAACCAUGCCCCAAUAUUUUUGACAUUGCAGAGUGUGAACCAUAACAUCAGAGAUCCAUUCAGAUUCUUCAACAUAUGGAGUGAGCAUCCACAAUUCUUGGAGCUAAUUGAUGUCCACCGGAAGAAGCAGCUUGAUAGAGAUCCUAUGCAGAAUGUAUGGAACAAACUAAAGGCAUUGAGGCCAGUCUUUAGACAGCUGAAUCAAAAAGAGUUUAAAACAACAUCAGUGAAGAUUGAGAAGGCAAGAGAAGAACUACAAUGUAUUCAAGCUGCAAUAGUAGCCAGAUAUGAUAGCAGUCUUGUGAUUAAAGAAAAAGAAGCUUUGAUAAAUCUUGAGAAAUGGAACCUGCUUGAGGAGAGUAUUAUAAGGCAAAAGUCUAGAGCCAAAUAGAUACAAUUGGGGGAUCCAAAUUCUAAGUAUUUUACUACAGUUAUAAAGGAAAGAAGCCAAAGGAAGCAAAUCAUGGAACUCAAUUCCAUGUCAGGUGCUAAGCUGUUGACUGAUCCUAAGUAGCUCAGAGAUGAAAUUGUAUCAUUCUACAAAGGGUUAAUGGGGACCUUUAGUCCCUCACUAAAGGCAGUCAACAAAGUUACAAUGAGCAAGGGACCCAAGCUAAGUCAUGAACAGCAAAUUCUCUUGUGUGCUCCAAUUACUGACUAAGAAAUAGCUGAUGGACUGAGUUCAAUUGGAAAUGAUAAAUCUCCAGGGGUGGAUGGGUAUAAUGCCUACUUAUUUGAAAAGCCAUAGAGUAUAGUGGGGCUAGAGAUUACAAGGGCGGUAAGAAGAUUCUUUGAGUGUGGCAAGAUGGAUAGAGCUAUUAACUGCACUUCUCUCACCUUGAUCCCUAAAUAUGAUCAUCCUGUUAUAGUGAAAGAGUCUAGACCAAUUGCUUGUUGUAUUGUUCUGUACAAAAUCAUUUCUAAAGUCCUUGCCUCAAGACUCCAGAAAGUUAUUGCAUCAAUAGUAUGUGAAGCACGGGCUGGAUUUAUUCCAGGCAGGAAGAUAUCAGAUAACAUCUUUCUUGCUCAAGAACUGGUGAAAUCCUAUACAAGGAAGAAUAUUUUCCCUAGAUGCAUGAUAAAAAUAAACCUUCAAAAUACCUAUGACUCAGUGGAAUGGAUAUUUCUGGAGCAGGUCCUAGAUGAGCUUGUAUUUCCUAGACAAUUCACCAUGUGGACCUUAGAAUGUGUGAAGACAGUUAACUAUUCUAUAUUGGUUAAUGGAGAACCCACAACUCCAUUUGAUGCAGCUAAAUGGCUAAGACAGGGAGACCUAAUUUCACCAUUUCUCUUUGCCUUAGCCAUGGAAUACUUAAGUAUAAAGCUCAAUGAGUUGAAAGGAAAUAAAGUGUUCAAGUAUCACCCAAAGUGCUCUAAACUAGCAGUGACUCAUAUAUCAUUUGCAGAUGAUCUACUGUUAUUCUCUAGAGGAGAUGUUGAGUCUGUUUUCAUACUAAAUAGGUAUUUUUUGGACUUCUCUUCUGCUUCAGGACUUCAAGCUAACAAAGAGAAGAGCUCCAUUUAUUUUGGAGGAGUCACUCAGAUCAUUCAAGAUCAAAUCCUACAACUGUUAGGAUUUCCAAAAGGAAAGCUCCCCUUUAAAUAUCUGGGAAUCCCCCUGUCCACUAAAAAGAUCUCUUUACUUCAGUGGCAACCAUUGAUCAACAAAAUGGUAGCCAGAAUCUCAUCUUGAACUGUAAAAAAACUCUCAUAUGCAGGGAGAUCUCAGUUAAUCCAAACAGUCCUCUUUGGUAUUCAAGCAUAUUGGUCUCAACUGUUUGCUAUUCCUUCAAAAGUACCAAAUACAAUUGAGGCCUAUUGUCGAAGCUACUUAUGGUCUGGCACAAACACAAUCACAAGGAAAGCUUUAAUUGAUUGGGAUAAGGUUUGCACUCCAAAGUCAAUGGGUGGCCCAGGCUUGCUAAAUAUAAGACUAUGGAAUAAAGCUGCAAUAGCUAAGGCAAGUUGGGAUAUUGAGCAUAAGAUAGAUAGAUUUGUGGAUCUGGUGGUUAUAUGCCUACUACAUCAAGAACCAGCAAUUCAGUCAAAUGCCUAUCCCUCAACAUGUAGGAUGGAUGGUGAGAAAAAUAUUUGAAGCAAGAGACCCAAUGGCACCGAUUCAAGAUAUCAAAAUAGACAGCUUAAUCAAGCAGAUUUACCUUAAGCUUAUUGGUGAUAAUGAGAGAAUAACUUGGAAGACAUUGAGAAUGGGAAAUGAUGCUAGACCAAAAGCUCAAUUCACAGUGUGGCUGCAGAUGCAUGGAAAACUAAUGACGGUUGAUAGACUUGCCUCAUGGGGGAUAAAUGUUGGUCCUAUAUGCAAUCUAUGUAACAAUCACAACGAAACAAGAAAUCAUGUAUUCAUGGAGUAUCCUUUCUCUAACAAAGUCUAGGAAGGAGUGUUGAAAUGGAUGCAGGUUCCUCUCUUCAGAACAUCACAAUGGGAACUAAUGGAGAAAUGGAUAAUUAAAGCAUCAAAGGGUAAAUCACAAAGAGCUCAAAUCUUUAAGUUGACUUAUACUGAAUGAGUACAUACAAUGUGGAUGGAGAUAAAUCAGAGAAUAUUUGAAAGAAUAGCAAAGAGUCAUAGUCAAUUGGUGAGGGAGAUUGCAUAUGUUUGUAAUAUUCGAGCAUCUACUAGAAUUAAAUAACUGGUUCAGCAACUUAGUAUUUAGUUUAGCUCUAGUAGUUAAGUAGUUCUUUGUGUUCUUAGACUAGAUAGCAGACUGUGAUGUAGUCUAGCUAUGGUUCCUUAUUGUAAACAUUCUGGUAAUUAAUAAAAUCUUUAGUUACCAAAAUAAAAAAGGCUAUUACAUAUAUUAUUUUUUCUAGUAUAUCCUACCAAACCACUACAAGAAAAGUGCUGAUUAUAUGGAGAUUUUCCUAGGGAUAAUAUAAAAAUAUCCGUAGGUAAUUUGAUUUUUUGCGGAAUUUCCUACCAAAAUAAAUCCGUUGAAAAAUUCUUCGUAGGUAAUUAUUACCUGCGAAUUAAAUUAUCUCCAGGUAAGUUACCUGGGGAUUUUGUAUUCCUAUGUAACUUACUUGCGGAUUUAUCAACGAAACAUAUCAAAAAAAUCGCAAAAGUAAUUUGACAAAAAUUCGUAAACAAAAGGAAUUUUCUUGGGAAUUUAUGUAGGAAGAAAUCCGCAGGUAAUUCCCUAUGAAGAUCCUCAAGUAAGUCCGUAAGAAAUUUUGAGGUGAACAUUUAUGGAUGAAAGGGAUUUUCUUGUGAAUAUUUAUGAAAAUAUUCCCCAGGAAAAUUCCUUUAAAAAUCCCAAGUAAAAUCCGCAUGCAAGAUAAUCCCCAUGUAAAUUUUUGCUUGCAGGUAAAUUCCCAUAUAAAAUUGACGCGUUUCAAAAUAUUUUCCCAAAAAAUUCGCAAGUAAUCUAUACAUUCUUGAAAUAUUAUUUUUAUUUAAUCUUGCUUAUAUUCUUACAAUUCAACUGUAUUAUCAUAAUCAUUCCACACAUGUGUUGUGAGUAAUAAAGUGACGGCAAUCACAGUUAUAUAUGCAUAACUUAAUUAACCUUAAGAAGUUGAUACAAUAAACUUAACCAUAAAGAGAUAAUAAAUUUCCAGCUAAAUCGAUGCAAAAAUAAUUCAGUAAGUAAUAAAAUUCUCAAUACAACAUCUGUAAUUUUCAAAGACAGUAUUCUGACUCAAGCUUGGAGCAAGUAAAUCCCUAUGCAAGAAAAAAGAUAAAUCCCAGAGUGACGGAAAUCCUUAGUUAAAUCACCAACAAAAAUAUUCUAACUAAACUCGCAAUAAAGAAAUUCCUAGCUAAUUACAUAAGAAAUUAAAUCCUCGGGUAUUUCUCCAUGGAAAAAUUUAGGUGCAAUCGCUUCAAGAUAUUCCUAGGUUAUUUCCCAGGUAAAUGCGCAGGAUGGUAAAUAAAUCACAGGUAAAUCUCUGUUAAAGAAUUCCCAAGUAAUACCGCAAUAGAUAAUCCCCAUGUAAUUUUUUCAGGUAUAUAAGUCCCCACAUAAAUCCCCAUGAAAAUAUUCGUAGGUGAAAUCCAAACAAUAAAUAUAAUCUCCAGGUAUUUCCCUAGAUACAUAAAUCACCUGGUAAUUCCCCAGGAAAUAUUUCCCAUGUAAAACCGUAGAAAAAUAUCCUCAGGUAAUUCCCCAGCAAAACUAAAUCCCCAGGUACAUCCCCAUGAAUAAUCUGCAGCAAAAUUCGCAUGACAAUUACAUGGGGAAGUUUCAGCCGACUCACAAAUAAUUUUUUUUUGUUCAUCUAUCUACGAAUUUACCUACGGAUAGAGGACUUGCCGAUUAUUUCCCCAUGUAAUUCCCCAGGCAAUACAUUUGCGCUUAAUGACGCCAAAAUUACCUGUGGAUUUAUCAGGAAAAAAUAAAUUCGUAUGUAUGAUAUUCUACAAUUUAAGAAUUUUAAAUUUCGGCAAGAAAAUUCACAGGUAAAUCUGGGAAUUUUAUUCCCACGUAAAUAUCCCCUAAUCCGCCUUUUUUCUUGUAGUGAGAC